rnacentral:lncRNA from 1 species
UUCCUUCUAUUCUUCUCUCUAUACGUUGGUGUUCUAACCAAUAAUCACCAAUGCGAUGUUCUGUCCGAUCGAUUCAGGAACUAAGUAACGAAUGCCAAAGUGUUGUACUUUGUGAAUUUCGGUAAACGGAAUCCUAAGUAUUAUACUUUGUGAAUUUUGUAAAGGUUCGAAUCUCGUGACUACCGUUAGGUUUGAUUUGGGUUUUACACAAAUACGUAUUCCAUUCUGUUAAACUAUAUGUUUAACUACCAGAAUACUCCCAACUACACACUUACAAUCAAACAAGCUGUUAAAUCAUCAGAAGAUUCAGAACAAUAAAAUAUACGCUUAAUUAUCAGAAGGAAUAGAAUCAAGAAGCUUGCUAAAUCAUGCUUAUACUGUUGAUAGGAUGCUAAGCUUGCUGUGAUGAAUCGAGUAGGAAGUCUAGAAACCCGCCAAAUAAAAAAUCUGAGUUGUCGGAAUAGUUUAUUUGUUUUUGAGACACGCUAUCUGUAAUGACUGUUUUUACUUCAUAUGUUGGUGGUAUGGGACAUUAUCGUUAAAUAUAUUGUCAUUAAUAGUUGU